AUUGAACGCUGGCGGCAGGCCUAACACAUGCAAGUCGAGCGGAUGAAGGUAGCUUGCUCCUGGAUUCAGCGGCGGACGGCUGAUGAAUGCCUAGGAAUUUGCCUGGUAGUGGGGGAUAACGUCCGGAAACGUGCGCUAAUACCGCAUACGGCCUGAGGGAGAAAGUGGGGGAUCUUCGGACCUCACGCUAUCAUAUGAGCCUAGGUCGGUUUAGCUAGUUGGUGGGGUAAAGGCCUACCAAGGCGACGAUCCGUAACUGGUAUGAAAGGAUGAUCAGUCACACUGGAACUGAGACACGGUACCGACUCCUACAGGAGGACGCAGCGGGGAAUAUUGGAGAAUGGGCGAAAGGCUGAUCCAGGAAUGCCGCGGGUGGGAAGAAGGUCUUAGGAUUGUAAAGCAAUUUAAGUUGGGAGGAAGGGAAGUCAGUUCAUCCCUUGCUGUUUUGACGUUACCAACAGAAUAAGCACCGGCUAACUUCGUG
rnacentral:rRNA from 1 species